GGGCCUUUAGCUUAGUUCGGUGGAGCGUCUGGCUCAUAACCUGACGGUCGUCGGUUCAAAUCCGGCAAGGCCCACCA
rnacentral:tRNA from 1 species